rnacentral:lncRNA from 10 species
CCUGGCGGGCAAGAGCCUCAGACUGAGGGAAGGAGAGGGCGCCUUUCCGCGCUUCUGUUUCCCUAGAGGAAGGAAAGAAGUUGAGAAAAUUCAGAGCCAAAUGUAGAUUUUCUCGAGUGCCUCAUUCCCCACAGCGAUCUUGCUGGUAACCGGGAGUGUGUUUUUUCUGCAUCAAAUGCUCAAAUGCGGUCUUCCAAAAUGUUUCCGACUGCGGCAGGAAUUUCAAACGAAAUCCUCGGAGCUAGAAGAAGAGUUACAGAAAAUCGCGAAUUUCCAGGCAACACGCCAGGGAUUUGGGGAAGAGAACAGUAAAACGUAACAGAAAUAGCAGCUUCCUGACACGGUGGAAGUCAUCUGGUGAAGAUUUUUUAUACAUUUUAUAUCGACUUUUUAAUCUCCUAAUUUAUGAGUAAAGUGUUAACCUAAGAAGUAAGAAUGCAUUUUGUAGCUCAUCAUUGUUUAAAUAGAGGCUUUGAAAUUCAGCCCGUCUCGGUGAUUGUAGCCGCCAUUACAAAGUGGCUGCGGGAGGGGUCUGGCCUCUGCUCAGCCACUCACUGCUGUGUGAUCUUGGGCAGAGCACUUGAUGUCUCUGAGCCCGUCUCCUGAAGCCCAAAGCCAGGCUGUAAUAUCUGUGUCGGCUGUUCCGUGAGGAAAGAUGCCUCAUCUCUAGCUCUUCCUCAAGGCUAUGAAUAUAAUCAAAGGCGGAUGCUCAGGGCUGUGAAUAAGAGUUCAGUGACGCAGCGUUUUAUCCAGUGCAUUCCUCUUCCCAGGCGUCUGUGACAUCGUCUUACCGACCAGCUGCCCCACUCUGGGACAUUUACAUCGCUUUGCAGUGGCCGCACUGACGGUCGACAGCUGCGCCAGGACUUAAGGCUCCAGCCUGGUCCCCUCCUUGCUUCCCAGCACUGCCUGGUCAAAUGGUGGAGGACAAAGUGGAGGCAGAAGACGGAGGCGCAGCUGACACGUGGACUAAGGGCUCUCCAGGCAUUCCGACUUCUGAAGAGGUGGCUGACAGCCUGAGCUCCAUGGAAAGGUUGGGAUAAAGAGCCUGUGUGAUUGUCUACUCCAAAUUCAUGACUUUACAGAUGGGCUUCAGCCAAUGGUUUGGGUCCCAAGCUGUUGUUAUUAUUAUUAUUAUUAUUAUCAUUAUCAUUUAAGACAGUCUCGCUCUGUCACCCAGGCUGGAGUGCAGUGGUGCGAUCUUGGCUCACUGCAGCCUCCGCCUCCCGGGUUCAAGUGAUUCUCCUGCCUCAGCCUCCCGAGUAGCUGGGAUUACAGGUGCCUGCCACCAGGCCCGGCUAAUUUUUUUGUAUUUUUAGUAGAAACGGGGUUUCACCAUGUUGGCUAGGCUGGUCUCAAACUCCUGACCUUAAGUGAUCUGCCCGCCUCGGCCUUCCAAAGUGCUGGGAUUACAGGCAUAAGCCACCGUGCCCGGCCCCAAGCUGCUUUUAGAAUGGCUUUUACUUUCUUAUAUGUAAUAGCGAAGAAUUUAAAAAUGUAAAGACAAGCCAGAUGUCAUGUUUGAAGAGGGAAAUUAAUCCCAUAAAGAGCAGCACAUCCAUGUGAUGGGGUAUUAGGAGGCCCUCAAUAGCCAAGGGUUAGCCUUUUUGAUGACAUAGAAAAAUAUGAGAUAUGAUAUUGAGUGAAAAGGGAGGUUAUAAAAUAUCAUGUGUAGUGCAAUCACAAGUGUAUGCACACACGCGGUGGAGAGAGACUGGGUGGACAGCACUAACCCAUUACCAGGGCUGUCUCCUGACUUUUAUCCUUUGGGUAUUUUUUGUGGUUUCCAAAUUUUUCAAUGCACAUUUAUUAUCUUAGGAGCAGGAAAAAACUUAUUUUUGCCAAUGAAAUAAAAAUAAAUUUGGGCCAGGCAUGGUAGCUCACUUCUGUAAUUACAGCACUUUGGGAGUCUGAGGUGGGUGGGUUGCUUGAGCCCAGGAGUUCGAGACCAGUCUAGGCAACAUGUCAAGACCUCAUCUCUACAAAAAAUUAAAACAUGAGCUGGGUAUGGUGGCAUAUGCCUGUAGUCCCAGCUACUCAGGAGGCUGAGGUGGGAGGAUUACUCGAGUCUGGGAGGUCAAUGCUGCAGUGAGCCGUGAUGACACCACUGCACUCCAGCCUGGAUGACAGAGUGAGACCCUGUCUCAACAACAAAACAAACAAGUGUGUUGGUGAAUAUUUGAAGAUAGUUUCUCAAACUAAAAGAUACCCAAAGAAAACCUUGGAAAUAUAAAAAGAAUGCAUGAAUUGAAAACAAAAAGCCAUAAUACAAGACUCUAAAGAUCUGGAAUGAAACCUAAUAAGAGACUGGUAGGUCAAAUGAGAGCAAAGCAUUUGAAUUUGACUGGAUUGUUUUCUCACUGGAAAUAGUGAUUCUAUGAGUUCACCAUUAACACAUUUUUUGACUGGAAAACUGCUAUAGGAUCCCAGGGAGGACUAAAUUUGAACAGAGGAAGUGGACAGUGUUGCAGUCUCUGUUCUAGCUCUUGCUUCUAGAAUAGGAGAGUUAAGAGCACCAAUUUGGGAUGAAGAAAGCAGAAAGCAAUUAUCGAUAUCAAUCAAGAGAGCAGAACAGCCUCUCUCCCUCCAUCCUCCCUCUGCCCUCUUCUCCCUUCCUCCUUCUCUGCUUUCCUUUCACUCUGUGUAUGUUAGCUUUGGCCCCAUUCCAUAAGCCGAGAUAAAAAUGCUAGGCAUGAUAAAUUUGUGACUGUUACUAACAUUUAGGAUUUUUUUUUUGAGAUGGAGUUUCACUCAUGUUGCCCAGGCUGGGUGCCAUGGCGCGAUCUCAGCUCACUGCAACCUCUGCCUUCCGGGUUCAAGCAAUUCUCCUGCCACAGCCUCGCAAGUAACUGGGACUACAGGCGCAUGCCACCAUGCCUGGCUAAUUUCUUUUGUAUUUUUAGCAGAGACAAGGUUUCACCGUGUUGGCCAGGAUGGUCUCGAUCUCCUGACCUUGCGAUCUGCCCACCUCAGUCUCCCAAAGCACUGGGAUUACAGGCGUGAGCCACCACACCUAGCACAUUUAGGACCGUUAUAUGGAAUUCUUCAUAUCUUCUAAGUUUUAAAAAAACAAAAUCUACCAAAUAUUAGAGAUUUAGUAGUUAAAUAAAAUCAUUAGGAAAGAGCAAAGACUUGCCCAGUUUUAGGUGGAGUAAAUUCUGGAACUUUUAAUACAAAGAUAGGCUGGGAAACUGCAAAGAUAACUUUGCGGUUCUUCUUGUAUGCAAAUCUGUGAUCAUGGAUGGAGAAGCCUGGAGGAGAAUCGGAAGGCAAGGUCAAACUUUAUGGGUUGUGAUCCAUUUGGUUCUUUCAGUAAGAAUCCACAAUUGAUAAAAUACUAGAGUUUGUGUUUCUUAGCUGAGAAUGCAGGCGCGAGGAAGUAAAAUGAUUUCUUCUCGUCAGUAGUAGAGCCACCUAACCCCAGUCUUCGGCCUCAAGCUCUUUCUGUGCUUUAUUAAAUCAGCUGCUUUUUAACAGAAAACCGACUUUGCACACCAGACUAUAAUGCAGGUCUUGCUUUGGGAAUAUUUACAUGGUAAUCUUAUAGUCACAUUAUACACUAAAUAAAUGUUAGCUGGGCCAUUUGUGUAGAAAUAUAACUUGUGCAAAAUAAAACC